rnacentral:rRNA from 1 species
GAACAUGAGAGUUUGAUCCUGGCUCAGAACGAACGCUGGCGGCAGGCCUAACACAUGCAAGUCGGACGAGAAGGUACCUUCGGGUACUGGAGAGUGGCGCACGGGUGAGUAACGCGUGGGGACCUACCUCUUAGUGGGGGAUAACGGUUGGAAACGACCGCUAAUACCGCAUACGCCCUUCGGGGGAAAGAUUUAUCGCUAAGAGAUGGACCCGCGUUGGAUUAGAUAGUUGGU